rnacentral:rRNA from 1 species
GACGAACGCUGGCGGCGUGCUUAACACAUGCAAGUCGAACGGAAAGGCCCUGCUUUUGUGGGGUGCUCGAGUGGCGAACGGGUGAGUAACACGUGAGUAACCUGCCCUUGACUUUGGGAUAACUUCAGGAAACUGGGGCUAAUACCGGAUAGGAGCUCCUGCUGCAUGGUGGGGGUUGGAAAGUUUCGGCGGUUGGGGAUGGACUCGCGGCUUAUCAGCUUGUUGGUGGGGUAGUGGCUUACCAAGGCUUUGACGGGUAGCCGGCCUGAGAGGGUGACCGGCAACAUUGGGACUGAGAGGCGGCCAAGACUCCUACGGGAGGCAGCAGUGGGGAAUAUUGCAAAAUGGGCGGAAGCCUGAUGCAGCAACGCCGCGUGCGGGAUGACGGCCUUCGGGUUGUAAACCGCUUUCGCCUGUGACGAAGCGUGAGUGACGGUAAUGGGUAAAGAAGAACCGGCUAACUACGUG